GGGUGAGUAAUGCGUGACCAACCUGCCCCAUGCUCCAGAAUAGCUCUUGGAAACGGGUGGUAAUGCUGGAUGCUCCAACUUGACGCAUGUCUUGUUGGGAAAGUGUUUAGUGGCAUGGGAUGGGGUCGCGUCCUAUCAGCUUGUAGGCGGGGUAAUGGCCCACCUAGGCUUCGACGGGUAGCCGGCCUGAGAGGGCGGACGGCCACAUUGGGACUGAGAUACGGCCCAGACUCCUACGGGAGGCAGCAGUG
rnacentral:rRNA from 1 species